rnacentral:lncRNA from 1 species
UCUAAUAUUAGUAUGGAUCGGGUUCGGAUAAUAACACUUUGGACUCAGUUCAAUUUUGUAUUGCAUCCUAAAACCCAUAAAGUAAUCAUAUAGUGUUUGGAUUCAGAUAUAUCGGUUCGGUUCGGAUAUAUCCGAAGUAAAAAAAAAUUAAAACAAAACAUAAAGAAAAAUACUUAAAUUGAAUAGAAAUUAAUCCAACACAAAUUGUAUUGAUAAAAUAACAAUAAAAUAUUAAAUCAAACAUAAAAACAAAUAUCAUUUGUAAAUAAUAUACAUUACCUUAUAGAAAGAAUAGACUUGUUAUUUCAACGAGCAACU